AUUGAACGCUGGCGGCAGGCCUAACACAUGCAAGUCGAACGAGUGGCGGACGGGUGAGUAAUGUCUGGGAAACUGCCUGAUGGAGGGGGAUAACUACUGGAAACGGUAGCUAAUACCGCAUACCAUCGGAUGUGCCCAGAUGGGAUUAGCUAGUAGGUGGGGUAAAGGCUCACCUAGGAGACGAUCCCUAGCUGGUCUGAGAGGAUGACCAUCCACAUGUGACCUGAGACACGGGCCAGAAUCCUACGGGAGGCAGCAGUGGGGAAUAUUGCUCAAUGGGCGCAAGCCGGAUGCAGCCAGGCCGCGUGUAUGAAGAAGGCCUUCGGGUUGUAAAGUACUGUCAGCGGGGAGGCGUUACCCGCAGAAGAAGCACCGGCUAACUCCGUGCCAGCAGCCGCGGUAAUAC
rnacentral:rRNA from 1 species